GGAGGUCGGCGGCGGACGGUUCCCUCGCCAACCCGGUCAGGUCCGGAAGGAAGCAGCCGUAACGAGUUCCGAGCCGGGUCGUAUGUCCGGCCUCCCGC
rnacentral:SRP_RNA from 1 species